rnacentral:rRNA from 1 species
AUUGAACGCUGGCGGCAGGCCUAACACAUGCAAGUCGAACGGUAGCACAGAGAGCUUGCUCUCGGGUGACGAGUGGCGGACGGGUGAGUAACGUCUGGGAAACUGCCCGAUGGAGGGGGAUAACUACUGGAAACGGUAGCUAAUACCGCAUAACGUCGCAAGACCAAAGUGGGGGACCUUCGGGCCUCACACCAUCGGAUGUGCCCAGAUGGGAUUAGCUAGUAGGUGGGGUAAUGGCUCACCUAGGCGACGAUCCCUAGCUGGUCUGAGAGGGGGACCGGCCACACUGGAACUGAGACACGGUCCGGACGCGGGCGGGAGGCAGCAGUGGGGAAGAUUGCCCAAUGGGCGCAAGGCGGAUGCAGCCAUGCCGCGUGUAUGAGGAAGGCCUUCGGGUUGUAAAGUACUUUCGGCGGGGAGGAAGGCGGUGAAGUUAAUAGCUUCACCGAUUGACGUUACCCGCAGAAGAAGCACCGGCUAACUCCGUGCCAGCCGCCGCCGUAA